ACAGGGGAGAAGAAGAAGGUGCAGGAGGAGGGAGGAGAAGCUACCAUGGGUGAGGAGUCAAGAAAACAUGGCCCUGAGGGCUGACAGAUUGGAGUUAAGAGCAGCUCAGAUAAAACAUAUGCUUUAGAUCCCUUUGGACUUAAUUUGUAUGACAGAAGCCUCUGUUUCUGCGAUUCCAAUUCGGCUGGGACGCAGCAAAAGAAUAGACUCAGUGACCUGAUGAGGUUCAUCUGGGAAGCAGGGGAAUCAAAGAGGAGGCUGGAUGGGCAGGGAUUGAUUUUCUGAGUUGCUGUCAGGUGCACCGGUGGAUUCUGAGGCCAGAGGACACUGCUGGGUUUAUUGGGAGUGAGUCAUUAAGAAAGCUUCCAUGGCAGUAAGUCAUGUUAGAAGCUACCAUGUGUGUGAUGUCAGAUUCCAAGCCUUGACAUGAGUUUUCCUACAACAGAUGCCUGACACACGGCAGGACUGCAUAGUUGUUGUUGUUUUGUUAUUGCUGUUUAUAUAUGCGUGUACAUGUCCUUGGCAAAGACAGAAGUCAACGUCAGGUAUCUCCCUUAACAAUCGCCCUCUACCUUAUUAGUUAAUUGAUUAAUUUUUUUUUGAGAUAGGGUCUCUCAGGAGGUCAGCAGGUUAGCUAGGCUGUCUGGGAAGAAGCCCUAGCGGCCUUACUGUCUCUUCCUCCUUCCCCUGUUCUGGAGUUACAGGUACAUACCAUUGUGCUUGGCUCUUAUGUGGGCGCUGGGUAUCCAAACCUAGGUUUGGGGUAACUGAUUGAGCUGCCUCUCCUGACCUUAAUGUAUAUUUUAAUAAGUGAAUCGAUAACCUGUCUCACACCGUCAUCAUAUUGAUCAUGUUAAGAUCAUUACACCAAGGUACAGAUGAUCUUUAUAUGGGUAAGCACACGGCUCUCCUGCUCAGCCUCUAUGGCUUCAGAUCUGAGUUUCUACAAUGAGGAGCUGCCUUUCGUCACUCUGGGCCACAGCAUCCUUAUUCUAUAAAGGGCAUACUGUGUCUAUUGAAGAGCUAUAAUAAAAAAACACGAGGCAGUGUCACAUGUCAGCCAUCUACUAGCAUCCAGCACAUAUUAGUAGGUCCUUAGAGAACAUUAGUUAGUGGUGUCAUCCAAGAUGUUAUAGGAAGUCAGGGACUCCAGAACUCAGAUAUGCUCCAAAGCCUACAUUUUGAUCACAGACACUCUUUACAAACCACAUGAAACUUUCUUUGACAGACGUCACAUUCUCCUUUCAUGUGUUGGCAUCUGUGUAACAUGUGGCCCUUCGGCCCUGGUUACGGUACAAGGAGCUGGGGAAGAGGUGGCUUGGCUUCUCCUUGGUUCGGAUUCAGUCCUUUUUCUAGAUUUCCUUUGCAGUUAUGAGGUUUGAUGGAGAAAGACCACAUAACAGAAAUAGAAAUGCUUCCGCUAAGCACCUGGGGCCACCAGCAUCCCCGAUGCCCUGUCUGCCCUCUGCUGUCUCCCUCCCUUCCCAAUUGUGUUACCUUCCUAGCUGAUUGUGUUCCCAGAGCCUCACUUUCUCCAUCUGCAAAAUGGGGAUGGUAAUGAUGCACACCUUUAAGAAACGGGGAGGGGAGGGCAGGGGGAAUAAUUAUGCAAAUUAUGUGGUGGCACCUGCCACGUAGGACAUCCCAUUCCCUUCUCUACGUGAGUCAUUUCAAAUCGAUAAAUCCCACCCACCCUUCAGCGCCCAGCUCACAUAACCUCUUUAUCACAAACCCCUCUCAGACAUCAAGACAAGAAGUGUGACACCUCCACGACAUAGUGGGCGUGCUUCCACCACGGCUGAGAGUGACACUCUGAACAGUCACCAACUGCAUGAGUGUUAAGUACACUCCAUGAGAAGGCAGGCUUGACACCGAAAGGGAUUAGCUAUUGUAUUGUAGUGUCAGGGGGAGUGUAGAGAAAGUAUCAGGGGAGGGAUAAUUGGCUGACGGAGGGGAAUGGGAUGAGGCGGCAAAAUAACCUAUUUACCAAUCCGUGUGCAAUCAUUUGACUGUUUUAACAAGCACAGGAAGGAAUGUUGCCCACAGCCACAAUCCUGCUCUAAUUAAACCCACUGCUGGGUCCUUGAGACGCUCAGUGGCCAAGCAAGAGAGCCUCUGGUCACCUUUAACCAACCAGGACCCAGUUCAGAGUCAAGGCCUUCAUUGGCACAGGCAUCUAUGAAAAGAAUUUCAUUCAAAGCUCCUACUCUUGGCUGUUUUCAAAAGAACAUUGGGGGCAGGGCAAAGGAGGCUCUCAGAGCUUACAGAACUUCCAUUUUCCUUCUCACUGGCUAAGUCCUGCUCGUAGUUUUCUGAGUUUACCUUCUCUAUCUGCCCCAAUUCUAAUGCCUUUUCCUGGCACUCUCAGCCAACCUUCUGCCUCAUCUCAGUGUUUGUCCUUUGUCACACUUGACCCUUUCCUAUUGUCACCUCCCCUCAUCUGUGUUCUCUCUUAGCAAGCACAGGCUUUCCUUCCUGUUCAUCAGAUGUCCAUAGCAAAAAACCGCGCCCAACCCUUUAUAGAUAGAUGCUCAGACUUGACAAAAUGGUUGGUAGGUGAUUUGUGCAAAUGGCCCUGCUGUUCUAUCUAAUGGAGAAAGAUCUUGGGACUGGAAUCUUCUCUCAUUUUUGCCUUUGUAAUGAGACAAAAGGAACAACCAAGCACAGAGGGAACAUGGAGUCAGGUCUUGGAGUGUAUUUAAUACUUCCGGGAGCCAGAGAACCUCGAAUGGGGUGAUUGCAGCCAUAUUGGAGCUAACCAGUAUUUAUGAUGCAAAGGUAAUCCUGUAGGAAGCAGGAUCGUGACUCUUGUUCCAGUUUACCCACUGGCUUACCCAAGCUGGGAAGUACACUUUUGUUAUUACUGUGACUUCAGAUAAUGCCUCUACCUCCCUUGCUGGCACCACCAAAAAUGCUAUACAAAAAGCAUUGUAUAGCAUUUGCCUCUCACCAAUGGCAUUCUAAAAUGUUUACUCACGGCUAAUCAUGGUGACCCCAUUACAAGCUUUGAACUAGCUCUCACUAGUUGUCUUGUGUUUCAGGAUUUGAGGAAACAGAGACAGAGAGAGGUAAUGUGACAAAGUUCCAUAGCAGGAAUCUACAAUGUUAUUCAAGUUUUGUUCCUGGACCAAGCACUGUAUGCGUGCAUGCAUUUGUGUGUGUCUGUGUGGUUGCACAAUCAUAUUGCCCUGUUUUGUUUUGUUUUUUAACAACCCCACCUUGCCAAAGCCAUCAAUACUCUCUUAUACUUCUCC
ensembl:antisense Srrm4os serine/arginine repetitive matrix 4, opposite strand